rnacentral:lncRNA from 1 species
UUUCUAUUUGGUGUCACAAAGUAUACUGCAGGACCCUAUGAAUGUGAAAUAUGGAACUCAGGGAGUGCCAGCCGCAGUGACCCAGUCACCCUGAAUCUCCUCCAUGGUCCAGACCUCCCCAGAAUUUUCCCUUCAGUCACCUCUUACUAUUCAGGAGAGAACCUCGACUUGUCCUGCUUCGCAAACUCUAACCCACCAGCACAGUAUUCUUGGACAAUUAAUGGGAAGUUUCAGCUAUCAGGACAAAAGCUCUUUAUCCCUCAGAUUACUCCAAAGCAUAAUGGGCUCUAUGCUUGCUCUGCUCGUAACUCAGCCACUGGCGAGGAAAGCUCCACAUCCUUGACAAUCAGAGUCAUUGCUCCUCCAGGAUUAGGAACUUUUGCUUUCAAUAAUCCAACGUAGCAGCCGUGAUGUCAUUUUUGUAUUUCAGGAAGACUGGCAGAUUUAUGGAAAAGACUAUGAAAAGGACUCUUGAAUACAAGUUCCUGAUAACUUCAAGAUCAUACCACUGGACUAAGAACUUUCAAAAUUUUGAUGAACAGGCUGAUACCUUCAUGAAAUUCAAGACAAAGAAGAAAAGAACUCCAUUUCAUUGGACUAAAUAACAAAAGGAUAAUGUUUUCAUAAUUUUUUAUUGGAAAAUGUGCUGAUUUUUUGAAUGUUUUAUCCUCCAGAUUUAUGAAUUUUUUUCUUCAGCAAUUGGUAAAGUAUACUUUUGUAAACAAAAAUUGAAACAUUUGCUUUUGCUCUCUGAGUGCCCCAGAAUUGGGAAUCUAUUCAUGAAUAUUCAUAUGUUUAUGGUAAUAAAGUUAUUUGCACAAGU